CCCGGAACAGGACACGCCCCCCGGACAGGACACGCGGGGAUUUGGGGGUGUCUGGAGUGAGGCUUUGGGCCCAUGCAACGGAUCCAGGAUUCUGCUUGCAUCUGCAAGGAGCGAGCUGUCCACACUCAGGGCACAGAUAAUUCCCAUCUCCAGCCCCACAUGAACCCCUGCACGGCGAGGGCAGCUCAGCCCCAGGAAUGCCGACAUUGCAAAGCACUUUGGGCUUCAUCAGUCUUAAAGUACUCCUUCAGCACAGAUUAUAAUGAUGAUGAUGAUUACUACUACUAUUUGCUGUUGCUUUGAUGUGUGUUAAACACCAUUAAAACAUUAUGUUUUUAAAUUGA